AAGCCUAAACCAUUUGUGCUUUAUUUCAGCCAUCAUAAUUAACGGAAAAGAGUUCAUCAAGUAUUACCAGCACGUGUACUCCAAACACUGUUAUACCCUGAAGGGAGAGAGAUGGCGGUGUUCCAAGCGUUGCAGCACCGGUUGCAAAGCGUUCUUGAUAUUAGGGCUGGGCACACGCGGCUUCAGACCAGUUAUCAAAGCUGCUGGGGAACACAACCACAUGCCACCACAGUACCAACAAUGUCCAGAUGGUUCUUACAUUAAGAUUAGUGGCUAGUUCAUCAACAGACUGAUAACACAUGGCGGCAAACAGCUCAUGAUGUAUUGUCAGCAUGUCUACGCCAAAGAUGUCUUUAUAAAAAUUGGUCAGAAGUGGCGGUGCUCACGACGCCUCAGCGCCGGUUGCAAAGCAUAUAUGGUCUUAGGGCCUGAAGUACCUAGAAGCAAGUUCAGAAGCGUUUUAAAAGUUUGCAAUGAACAUACCCACGGGCCGUCAAAGUUUUACCAGCUAAAAGAUGGCACUUACGUUAAAAUGUGACUGCUGUAAUGCGAUUAAAUGUAAUAACAAAAUGUUAGUUCCAUCAAAGUACCAACAAUUUCCAGAACUAUAUUUACUGUUUUUUACUAUCCGUCGAGUUUUGGUGAACAUGGGCUUUGAACAUAAUUUUGCCACCAGCAGGUUGCUACUGAGACUAGUGUGUUUGUCAAUAAAGUUGAUUUAUUUGC